CCUUACUAUUGAUUUUUGCUAGAUAUAUACAUGCAAGUAUCCGCACUCCAGUGAAAAUGCCCUUAAAACUUUAAACAAGCAAAAGGAGCAGGUAUCAGGCCCACCCAAGCGUAGCCCAAAACACCUUGCCAAAGCCACACCCCCACGGGUAUUCAGCAGUAAUUAACCUUAAGCAAUAAGUGUAAACUUGACUUAGCCAUAGCAAUUUAGGGUUGGUAAAUCUUGUGCCAGCCACCGCGGUCAUACAAGAAACCCAAAUCAAUAGUUGCCCGGCGUAAAGAGUGGCCAUAUGUUAUCUUCAACAACUAAGAUCAAAGCGUAACUAAGCUGUCAUAAGCCCAUGAUCCACCUAAGCCCCCCUAAACCAUCUUAGCUACAUGAUUAAUUUAACCCCACGAAAGCCAGGGUACAAACUGGGAUUAGAUACCCCACUAUGCCUGGCCCUUAAUUCAGAUACCUAUAUACUCCUGUAUCCGCCCGAGAACUACGAGCACAAACGCUUAAAACUCUAAGGACUUGGCGGUGCCCUAAACCCACCUAGAGGAGCCUGUUCUAUAAUCGAUAAUCCACGAUCCACCCAACCACCCCUUGCCCGAACAGCCUACAUACCGCCGUCGCCAGCCCACCUAAAUGAAAGACCAAAAGUGAGCUCAAUAGCCUCCGCUAGCAAGACAGGUCAAGGUAUAGCCCAUGGGGUGGAAGAAAUGGGCUACAUUUUCUAACGUAGAAUAUAAACG
rnacentral:rRNA from 1 species